UACGGAGGAUGCGAGCGUUAUCCGGAUUUAUUGGGUUUAAAGGGUGCGCAGGCGGCACGGCAAGCCGGCGGUCAAAUCGCGGGGCUCAACCCCGCCCAGCCGUCGGAACUGCCGGGCUAGAGUGGGCGAGAAGUGCGCGGAAUGCGUGGUGUAGCGGUGAAAUGCAUAGGUAUCACGCAGAACUCCGAUUGCGAAGGCAGCGCACCGGCGCCCUACUGACGCUCAGGCACGAAAGCGUGGGUAUCGAGCAGG
rnacentral:rRNA from 1 species